AGACUAUUUAUUAAUAGUUAUUCUUUUGUUCACCUUCAGGUAUAUCAUUGGAUGGAAUUAAUUUGUUAGAAAAAUAUGUCAACAAGACUACAGAUGUCCAGACAGCAAGUUUGGUCAUUGUUAACUGUGUUCCUCAUAUAUCAAGUGAAGUCUCCAAAGAUGUGCGAGUCACAUCGUGGAUUGAAAAUUAUAGGAAUUUAUUGGAUAUGUGGAGACUUUGGCACCAGAGAGCGUUGUUUGAUAUUCAUCACAAUUUGAAGGAUCCCAACCACAAACCUCCACGGCAAGUGACUGUGACUUGUAACUUUUGUCCCAACUCCAUUCUCACCAAUGUCCAGUCAACAGUGUCAAGAGUCAAAAGGUAUGCUCAGUACUCAAAUCCCUCAAACAGAACAAAGGUAUUUAUCGAACAAAUGGUUUUGCCAAAUGAUUAUUUUAACACUUUAGAGAAGGUGAUGUUCUCCCAGAUUCUGGUCAUGUUUGGAAGAUGCUAGAGUGGCUCUGGGACCUGUUCGGUUUUAGGUAAAAAAUGAAUUUAAGGUUGAAAUUAUUUCAACCUAGUUUGAUUCCUCUGCAGUUUGUCACUU